ensembl:lncRNA
CAGCGCCGCCUCGUGCCGAGGGGACGGAUAGCACGUCGAGAGGAAACAAAAACAGAGAGGCGCAGGAGGGACGGAUGCUAGCGAGAAUAAGACGGGACGUGUCAAUAAUCCUGGAAGAGGAGCAGAAGGCUCUUCAUGGAGGGGUCCUGGCCUGGCCUGUGGAGAUGAGCCAAUAGGCAACUAUAUACGGACCAGGGUUUAUGCUGAUGAAACUCAUCUGCUCCAAGAGGAAAAGGCUUGAAGAUGAUGCUUGUCUGACAUGGAAAAAUAGGAGAUACAAAACCAGGCUGCGGCGCUCCUCCUUUACCAUGAACUGAACCUCCUACACAUCGAUCUGCAGGAGAAACAGAGAGGGAUCUGACCAGAUCGCCAUGGUCUCACAAGCGCUGGAGUCGAUGAAGGCCUGAAAAGUGUGUCGCUGCUCUCCCCAUGAGAGAUAUACAGCUUGAGAGAGACGGGUUCCUCCGAUGUGCAUGGGCUCAGGAUCACUGGACGAGCUGGGAGCAGAACUCCAGGAUGGAGCUGGUACAUCAGCCGAUCUCCGGGCGUGAGGUUGGGUACGGUGGCGCUCACCCAGGCGGUUGCCUAGCUGAAAAGCCAGGGAGACUAAUGUCUCAAAGUCAUUGGGUGUCUCCACGGUAGCCAAUCCAUCCUUCAGGGCAUCAGACAAUCCGUCGUAGAAGACUGAGAUUAGGGCCUGCUCGUCCCAACCACUAUCAGCUGCCAGGGUUCUGAAAGUAAUUGCAUAGUCAGCAGCAC